CGACCGGCGCACGGGUGAGUAACACGUAUCCAACCUGCCGUCUACUCUUGGACAGCCUUCUGAAAGGAAGAUUAAUACAAGAUGGCAUCAUGAGUCCGCAUGUUCACAUGAUUAAAGGUAUUCCGGUAGACGAUGGGGAUGCGUUCCAUUAGAUAGUAGGCGGGGUAACGGCCCACCUAGUCUUCGAUGGAUAGGGGUUCUGAGAGGAAGGUCCCCCGCAUUGGAACUGAGACACGGUCCAAACUCCUACGGGAGGCAGCAG
rnacentral:rRNA from 1 species